rnacentral:rRNA from 1 species
CGUAGGGUGCGAGCGUUAAUCGGAAUUACUGGGCGUGAAGCGUGCGCAGGCGGUUUUGUAAGACAGGCGUGAAGUCCCCGGGCUCAACCUGGGAACUGCGCUUGUGACUGCAAGGCUAGAGUACGGCAGAGGGGGGUGGAAUUCCACGUGUAGCAGUGAAAUGCGUAGAGAUGUGGAGGAACACCAAUGGCGAAGGCAGCCCCCUGGGUCGAUACUGACGCUCAUGCACGAAAGCGUGGGUAGCAAACAGGAUUAGAUACCCUGGUAGUCCACGCCCUAAACGAUGUCAACUAGGUGUUGGGUGGGUAAAACCAUUUAGUACCGGAGCUAACGCGUGAAGUUGACCGCCUGGGGAGUACGGCCGCAAGGUUA